GUAGAGAGAUGCAGAGGAGCAGAACAUGGUGAUGAUGAUGGUGAUAGUGAUGAUGAUGGUGAUAGUGAUGAUGAUGGUGAUAGUGAUGAUGAUAUUGAUAGUGAUAGUGAUGAUGAUAGUGGUGAUGUGUGUUUAGUCUUCUCUGCUCUAAUGGACCAAAGCUCCCAGUGACUCCCUGUGGACUCUGCUGCUGGAGCUGAUCAGGACUCUCACAGGAAGGAACUCUACUAGGGCUGACCCCAUUUAGUCGACUGGUUGAUUGUUUGGUCGCUAGGCUGUUGGUCGACUGAGAUUUCUUUAGUGGAACAGUUGCAAAUUGUUCGUUUUUUUGCACGGUGCACACGCCAUCUGUCUGAUUUGCUCUUAUCUCCGUAGACUAAUCCAUUAAGGAGAUGAUGCCACAGUCCUUCAAAUACAUGCUACUGAAAUUGGAUAUGUUUCUAUUAUAUAAGAAUAACGGUGCAACACUAAUAAAAAUUAUAUUAUUUCAUAUCAAAUGCGCUUUCACCCACGUUGGUAGUUGUCGCUGUCCGCGGUCCUGAAAGAUGAUCUACAAUGCGCCAUUGAAUUGGCGCCUUUCCUAUAUGUUGCUAUGUGCAUAAUAGGAAGUUAACCAGCGUAUUGGUUUUGAGAACAAUGUGGCGGAGGCAGCAUAGAAGUGAGGAGACGUGGAAACAGCCCUUGCCUUAAUUGUGAAAGAAAGGUGAGGAGAGAGGAAACCCCAAUUUAAUAAGGUCCGUAAUCAACAGCCCAACUGUUAAACGUUCCUGACUUUGUAAAUCAUCCAUAUAUAUCUCCAGAAAUAAGACAGAUCCUGCUUGUGUUGCCUGGUUGAGUGUUUAAUAGCCUACUGAUUCCAAGCGUUGUGCAACUGCAACAUGUCGGAUAAAACGGUUUCACAAAUGAGGAUGUUUUUAAUAUUUGCUAUGCUGUAAUAAAGGCAUUACUAUUUAUUUUUCGUUAGAAAAGACUGGUAUUACUUAUACUUGAUUUAGUGUUGCUUACUCCGUUUCAAAUGGGCAGAAAAAUUAUAUUGUAAUCUAACAGCACCUGUUUUGUCGCACAAUAUGCACGCAGCUCUCACGCCGACACCCUCCUUUAUCUUGAUCUCCUUCUCACUGUUAUUAUUAAAGUUAUUAUUGUGAUCAUCAUUAUAAUAAGUCAUGUUGUUAUCAUUAGUAGGCUUCGUAGAGUAGUAGCCUUGUAUAACCAGCAUUGAGCUGAAGGCUUAAGAGCGCGUCCUGUUAAUACCGUAACUUACUUACUGGCCAGUAUUUCAAUAUAUACAUUACUGUAUCAAUCGAUCAAUCAUUUGUUCAUGUCUUCACACAGACCAGUCAUUCAUGCGUUGAAAUGCAAUCAAGCGUUUUAGUUUUAAAACUAAAUAAGAAAGGGAGAAUUUAAUAAUUAGCCUAAACAGUAAAUAAACCACAAUCCAGGAAUGCAUGCAGCUGUUUUUGGUCUUUGCUAUUGUAGUGGUGAUUCCCUAUGAUCAGCCUCUGACACAGGAGUGAGCUGUACAAAACACAUCCACAAGAAUCAGCGGGAUGAUCUGCAGGACCAGAGGUUGCUAGCACUUAGCCCCAUCUCAGCCUAUAACAAGGUCAGCUCUGUAGUCGCUUAGCCCCAUCUCAGCCUAUAACAAGUACAGCUCUGUAGUCACUUAGCCCCAUCUCAGCCUAUAACAAGUACAGCUCUGUAGUCACUUAGCCCCAUCUCAGCCUAUAACAAGGUCAGCUCUGUAGUCACUUAGCCCCAUCUCAGCCUAUAACAAGUACAGCUCUGUAGUCACUUAGCCCCAUCUCAGCCUAUAACAAGUACAGCUCUGUAGUCACUUAGCCCCAUCUCAGCCUAUAACAAGUACAGCUCUGUAGUCACUUAGCCCCAUCUCAGCCUAUAACAAGUACAGCUCUGUAGUCACUUAGCCCCAUCUCAGCCUAUAACAAGUACAGCUCUGUAGUCACUUAGCCCCAUCUCAGCCUAUAACAAGGUCAGCUCUGUAGUCACUUAUCCCCAUCUCAGCCUAUAACAAGUACAGCUCUGUAGUCACUUAGCCCCAUCUCAGCCUACAACAAGUACAGCUCUGUAGUGACUUAGCCCCAUCUCAGCCUAUAACAAGUACAGCUCUGUAGUCACUUAGCCCCAUCUCAGCCUAUAACAAGCACAGCUCUGUAGUCUCUUAGCCCCAUCUCAGCCUAUAACAAGGUCAGCUCUGUAGUCUCUUAGCCCCAUCUCAGCCUAUAACAAGGUCAGCUCUGAAGUCGUCCAAGGCAGCAUCCUGUAGCAUGGAGCGUGUCGGUCCUGCAUGUCUCAUGUAGAUGGGGUGGGCAGUAACAGCAGGGCAGCCAAUCUUUCCCGGGUUGUCACCACCUUCUCCAAAGGGACCGCCAGAGACCCACACCAAUCGGGUCCCAGCGGUGUGGGGUCCAUCUACAACACUGUCGUCAUCAGUGGGGGCAAUGGCCUGUGGAGCAUCGCUGCCAAUCAGCAACUCUACGCCGGCCCCAAUACGACCCUGCUGUACAUAGUCAGACAACAUACACGCAUGCCCCUGUUUCACACAGUCCACAAUUUUGAGUCUUUUUUUUCAUUAUACAUCUGUCAAUAUCUUAAAUGUUCUGCGGAUAUCUUCAGUAAACAUCUUCUCAGAGCAGUUGUUCUGGGAGAGAACGUUGUUCUCCACGUCCUUUACAGUCCGUCUUCAUCUCACGCAGCCCAUUCAGCAGAAUGUUUAUUCAACGUUCAGUGUUAAGUGUUAAGAUAAUACAGAGCCCAAUACUCUGUUCUAAUGCUCAGAAAUGAAGUGUUGACAUAUCGGAGAGCAUUUCCCUAUGAAACACUGGCUCCACUUCCUAUUCCACAGCUACAAUUGACGAAACCGUGUUCAACUCGCACCGCGCAGCACAAGAGUGAAGAUCACGUACCAAUGUCCUUUUGGUGAGCGACGGCGCGGAGGAUUUGGCUCCUGGAUUCUUCUCGUUUCUCCGGGAAAUGUUUGCCACGACCCUUGUUGGUUGUCGUAGGCACAGCAGGAGUGAUUCCAAUAAUCUGACGUGCUGCAUGCAAAGAUCCAUUAGUCCAGUUUACAACGAGAGUUAAGUUCUUACUGUUGUAGUGGCGAUUCCCUAUGAUCAGCCUCUGACACAGGAGAGAGCUGUACACAACGCGUCCACGAGAAUCAGCUUUCCCAAACGUUACUCUUUUAGGGUGAAGUUCCUAUUUAUUGCUCAUAUCUAAUAUAAGUAGCUCUAAUACACAUGUUCCUGUAGAAAAGGUGCAGAGAGAUGCUUCUUUCAGCUGUCUGUGAUACGGUAACAACUGUAUGUCGUCUACUCUCUCCUGUACUAACCCUUCCUGGUCACCUGUCCUAGCUAUACACAUGUGACCAGUGACCCAUGACCCCAACAUAUAGUCCCCUCUAUUGUACAAAACAGGUUAAAAUAGCCCUUGACAGACAACAUACACACAACACAUAAACAGGACAAAACGGCUCCUACAGCUGUAAUAAAGGCUUUAUAUUUAUAUAUAUUAGACUCUCUGGUACACUUAUCACUUAUUUAGUGUUGUUUACACUGUUCCACACGGUCAGAAAACAUGAUAUUGUAAUGUAACAGCACCUGUUUGUCACCCGUCACACAGACCCUCCUUUUAUGUGAUCUCCAGUAGUUUCCCCCAUCUGACUUCCCGUUUCCCUCCUGAGCAACCAGUAAACAUUCCCCGUUUCCAGUUUAUUUUUUCCCGUCCUCCGCAUCCUUUUAGUUGUGUUGCGGUGUUGGGUGUUUGUUCUAACCAGUGUGUUGAUGUGAUUAUGAAAGGCUAUAGAUCCGGCCCUAUUGGUCACGUGCAUGCGAUGCGUACACGCGUCACGUGAAGAGAGCGAGGGUUGAGGAACAGGGAAUGUUUUUCCUAAACAAAUUAGGGAUUUCGGUUUCAACUUCUCCGAGUCCGAGAAACAAGUUAGAAACUACACGGCUGUAAUUGUGUAGCAGCUUCAGCGCGGACAACGACGAUAAACGCUUGCUGUGGUGCCUGUUCGCUGCAGCAGGGAGGAGAGAGCGACAACGUGCGCCAGUCACAGGCACUCGCUGUCAUUUUUAACACAGCGUAGACCUCCUGAGUCAUUUGUUUGUCAAACAGUAUUUCAUCAAACAGUCUAUAUAUAGAAAAAUACACGUUUUGACAAAGAACAGACGACUCUCGUCGACCAAGAUUUUGUUUUGUCAGGAGGCAGUCCUACUCUACACACUCACACACACCCACCCACACACUCAGGAUCUGGGGAUAACACACACAGACUUUAUUGCUCCAGUAGACUCACGUUAUUGAGAGAUCAUCUUCCUCAUGUGAGUCUCUCCAUCUCUCUCCUGUUGUUCCUGACUGAAAAGAGGAUCCUCUCUCACUUCCUCUAUUUAUCUCUGACAUCAUCACUAGAGGACAGUCUCCAUUUAUCAACAGGGUUUUAUUCAUUGACACACCUCACUGAAAACUACAGUGUUAUAUAACAUCCAUUAGUUAGAAUAACACUACUGUACUGUACACGACGUGCAUCUUCAACACAGUAGAUAGAACCAAGCCAACAUCAGCUGGUGUAGAAUAGAUCCACACUCUCCUGAGUCUCCUCAUCAACUCUCUCUGUCUCCGUGGUGAAGGUGUGACAUCAUCACACUGUAGAGGUCUGAGCUGAUCUGUUUUAUUCCAGUCUGGUUGAACAACUAACACAUGAUGAUAGAGAUCCCACUGGCAGACUGAAUCUGGAGGACAGAUGGAGCCAUUGAUUUACUGUGUUGGUGUUUGUGUGUGUGUGUGUGUGUUAUCCACACAGCCCAGCUGUGUGUGCCCCUCUACAGUGGUUCCUCGUUUAAAAGUAGCUUCAUACUGCAGCACAGCUUGCAGGGUGCUGGGGUACGGUACAGCAUGUCACAGUGCUUGACGUCAGAGUAUUCUGCUGUCACCCGUUGUUGCCGUUAAUGCUCGUUGAAACGUCCAGCGUGCGUCUUUGAAACCUCCAGCGGGCGUCUUUGAAACCUCCAGCGUGCGUCUUUGAAACCUCCAGCGGGCAUCUUUGAAACCUCCAGCGUGCGUCUUUGAAACGUCCAGCGUGCGUCUUUGAAACCUCCAGCGUGCGUCUUUGAAACCUCCAGCGUGCGUCUUUGAAACGUCCAGCGUGCGUCUUUGAAACCUCCAGCGUGCGUCUUUGAAACCUCCAGCGGGCAUCUUUGAAACCACCAGUGGGCAUCUUUGAGGGCGUCUUCAUAAAGCUUUGCUUACUUUCCCAAGUAAUCCUACAGAGGUCCAUGCCUGCCAGACGUUUUGAUCCCUAUACCCUAUCAGAGGUCCAUGCAGGCCAGACGUUUUGAUCCCUAUACCCUAUCAGAGGUCCAUGCAGGCCAGACGUUUUGAUUCCUAUACCCUAUCAGAGGUCCAUGCAGGCCAGACGUUUUGAUUCCUAUACCCUAUCAGAGGUCCAUGCAGGCCAGACGUUUUGAUUCCUAUACCCUAUCAGAGGUCCAUGCAGGCCAGACGUUUUGAUUCCUAUACCCUAUCAGAGGUCCAUGCAGGCCAGACGUUUUGAUUCCUAUACCCUAUCAGAGGUCCAUGCAGGCCAGACGUUUUGAUCCCUAUACCCU